rnacentral:rRNA from 1 species
AUACGGAGGAUCCAAGCGUUAUCCGGAUUUAUUGGGUUUAAAGGGUGCGUAGGCGGAUUAUUAAGUCAGUGUUGAAAGACUAAAGCUCAACUUUAGAAGUGGCAUUGAUACUGGUAGUCUUGAGUACAGAUGAAGUGGGCGGAAUGUGUCAUGUAGCGGUGAAAUGCAUAGAUAUGACACAGAACACCGAUUGCGAAGGCAGCUCACUAAGUUGUAACUGACGCUGAGGCACGAAAGCGUGGGGAUC